UACGUAGGGGGCAAGCGUUGUCCGGAAUUACUGGGCGUAAAGGGCGUGUAGGCGGUUUUUUAAGUCAGGCGUUAAAAUUCGGGGCUCAACCCCGGAAUGCGUUUGAAACUGGAGAACUUGAGUACUGGAGAGGUAAGUGGAAUUCCUAGUGUAGCGGUGAAAUGCGUAGAGAUUAGGAGGAACACCAGUGGCGAAGGCGGCUUACUGGCCAGAUACUGACGCUGAGGCGCGAAAGCGUGGGGAGCGAACAGGAUUAGAUACCCUGGUAGUCCACGCCGUAAACGAUGAGUACUAGGUGUUGGGGAGACUCAGUGCCGUAGUUAACACAAUAAGUACUCCGCCUGGGGAUUACGAUCGCAAGAUUGAA
rnacentral:rRNA from 1 species